AUUGAACGCUGGCGGCAUGCUUUACACAUGCAAGUCGAACGGUAACAGGCCGCAAGGUGCUGACGAGUGGCGAACGGGUGCGUAAUGCAUCGGAACGUGCCCAGUCGUGGGGGAUAACUACUCGAAAGAGUAGCUAAUACCGCAUACGAUCUAUGGAUGACAGCGGGGGACCGUAAGGCCUCGCGCGAUUGGAGCGGCCGAUGUCAGAUUAGGUAGAUGGUGGGGUAAAGGUCCACCAAGCCAACGAUCUGUAGCUGGUCUGAGAGGACGACCAGCCACACUGGGACUGAGACACGGCCCAGACUCCUACGGGAGGCAGCAGUGGGGAAUGUUGGACAAUGGGCGCAAGCCUGAUCCAGCAAUGCCGCGUGCAGGAAGAAGGCCUUCGGGUUGUAAACUGCUUUUGUACGGAACGAAACGGCUCUGGUUAAUACCCGGGGCUAAUGACGGUACCGUAAGAAUAAGCACCGGCUAACUACGUG
rnacentral:rRNA from 1 species